rnacentral:misc_RNA from 1 species
GAAAAAAAAAAGAAAAAUCAUGGCAAACAAAUUAAACCUUUAACAAUUUGCAAGGUUACUCGCGGCAUUGGCUUUCUCCCUUAGAACAAACUUUUGCACCUUUCCAGUGAAAUUGAGUGGAAGAUCCCCAAAAACUGUAAUCUUUGGAAUCAUAUGGUUUGGCAAUUUAUCUCUACAAAAUUCAGUAAUCUCUUUAGCAUUAGCAUCACACCCAUCUUUCAAUUUCACAAAUGCACAAGGCACCACCUCCUUCAAAUCAGCAUCAAAUUUUCCUACCACAGCAGCCUCUGAAACCAUUGGAUGACUUAGCAAGGCAGCUUCCACCUCUAAUGUGCUUAUAGUCCUUCCUUCAGAAAUUAUAAUAUCAUUUGCACGAUCUUUCAUUUGUAUGCUGCCAUUUGGAUGUCUAACUCCAAGGUCUCCUGUGUGAUACCAUCCACCCCUGAAAGCUUCUUGGGUAGCUUUUGCGUUGUAAAGAUAUCCUGACAUCAAAGUAUUGCUCCUGAACAUCACUUCUCCUAUGGUUUUCCCAUCAUAUGGUACACUUUUCAUGGUUUUUGGAUCCUUAACAUCAAUCCCUUCAAUCAAAAGAUUGUGCAGCCCUUCACGGCUUUUAUAUUUUACUUGUUCAUCAUCAUCAUCAUCAUCCAUGAAAGAAACAUUACAAUCUGAAUCAAGUUUCCAUGGCCUAACAAUCGCCGGACCAAGGACUUCAGUCAUACCAUACCCAUCAGUGACUUGAAACCCUAAUUCUUCAACCUUCAGGAGGAUUUUAGAGUUCAACAAUGCACCUGCUACAAUAACAUUGACCUUGCUUGGAAGUUUCCUUUGCUCACUUGCUGGUGCAUUGGCAAUAAUGUUCAAGAUAGAUGGGGGACCACAUAAGUGAGUUAUCUUGUGAAGUAUUAGUGCAUCAAAUAGUACUUUAGCUGAGACAUUUCUG